rnacentral:tRNA from 1 species
GCGCGGUUAGCUCAGUUGGUUAGAGCGCUACCUUGACACGGUAGAGGUCACAGGUUCGAAUCCUGUAUCGCGCACCA